AACAUUUUGUCUCUUCCACCACCGUCUCCGGCAUCGCUCUGCCACGCAUCUACCCAUCACUUCAGCAAUCGCAAGACUGCUCCGAACUGGGUUCUUCAGUCCGGAAGAUCGUACCAGUGAAUCGGCCCUCUCACCUUACUUCAGUACUUACUACCUGCUUUGGUAAUUUGGAUGGGGUGGAAGUCCCUGGGAUGGCAUUUUUGUUUUUGAUGGCCUUGCAUGAUUUCAAUGGCUCGAGUCUUGCCUUGAUGUUUGCCUCUGCCAUUCAUAAAGUUUAGUUUAUUAGUGCAUGGUUUCGGUGGUAAGUUUGCCCUUCGCUAGGUUUUUCAUAACUUACUUGGAUGCACAGAGUGUAAGAGGAGGAGUAGAUUAGUAUUUUAUCUUACUUGGAAGAAAAAGAAGAAGGAAAUUGGUCCAGAAACUGAUCAAAUCACUUUUAUGCUGCCUGCAACAAGAGUAUUUUCUAACAUUUAGACUAGACUGUUUUAUGAUUUCAUUCUGUAAGGGAGGCCUACCUCAUCGAAAAUUUUGUUGAGAACUUCUUAUGUUACAUGGUCACAUAUAUAAACUUAAAAACUUACAUCGAACCAAAUGCUUUGGGUCCAAAAUGGAAGAUAGGAAGAAGGUGUGGAAAAUACAAAAAAUCAGAUUCAGUUUACCAUGUACUUUUAGGAAUUGGCAUUAGGUUACUGAAAUUUUGUCAUUACUCCCUCAACCAUUUAAACAUUAAAGGAAAGAAAUUGGAACCGGAGGCUCCACAAUGUUGUCAAAUUUGGUGCCCAAUUUGACAAAGCCGGUACAUCUACAUGUUGGUAAACAGAGGAAGGAUCAUGGAUGGUUUGGACUCAGAAUUCUAUAUUGAUACUCGUCCAAGCAUGAGUGAUGCUGAGGACGCAUAGAUUACUGUUAUCGUUUAUUGUACAUGUUAGAUAAUGUAGUGAAUUUGGAGAACCUUGGCUUCCAGUCAAUAGAUAAGUCCUGUGUAUGUACGUUGUCGCAAUUAUUCAACUAGAGUUUGAUAUAUAGAUGUAUGCUAAAAUAGUUUUACCAGCAAUUACCAAGGUCUUUUAUGUUUUAACUGGUGCUUGAGACUUCUUUGAAGUUGUUAAUUCACAUAUGCAUGAAGGUCAUUAAGUAAAAAUUUGAUUUUUGCCUGCAGCUUGGAUGUUUGGCAUGCUUUGAGCACUUAAAUCCACUUUCUACUGACUUAUCCUUUGUCUUCUGCAUUUUGAGUGAUUUAGUAAUCUCUCUUUCUGUCAAUGUUCACUUGAGCUCUUUGAUAUAUAUGGUCUCUUUUUGGGGGAAAAUGAACGACAUCAUACUACUGCUUGAAUGGAUAUGGAAUUCAAAAUACAGGGGUCAUUACUGACUUCCAGUUUGAUUGGUGACAGAAAUUGGAACCGGAGGCUCCACAAUGUAGUCUUGUUUCUAGAAAGAAAGUUUUGUCGGGACUUUUCUGUUUCUUUCUUUUGUUGCAGUGUGCUGGAUAGAUUUCUAAAAUUGAAUUGGAUAGAUUUCAAUUGUUGAAGGGUAUUGACUUACUUAUGAAUGACAGGACAAAGUAUGACACUUUUUCUGGUCUCGGAGAUGACUUAAAAAAGGAUUGGCUAUUGAUGCACAUUGGUAAUUGAUUUUUUUUUGGGUAAUCUCCAGUUGAAGUUGUUUUUGUAGAAGAAGUUGAGCUGAUUGCUGGAAGCCCAAGUAGAGCAAGUAAAAGUUGUUACUACUCCAUCGUGUAUCCAUGACUUUUUAAAUUCUGAUGAGUUCUUUUGUCAUUUUCUUGUCAUUUAUUUUUAAGAAAAUGAAGAACAUAUGGAACAAAUAGGAAAAGUUCUUGAUUGAUUUUCGCCGUCCUGCUUAGUUGAAUUCAUAAA